rnacentral:lncRNA from 1 species
UGCCGCCGUUCUACCACUUUGUGUGUGUAGUAAAUUUUUUUUUUUCAAUAUUUAGCUUGAAAAUAAGUAUACGGAACGAUUGGCAAUGAGAGAAAAAUUAUACGCCUUUUUGGCUUUAGAUGUGUUGCUCUCUAAAGCCCAAAAGGGCUUAUAAGUAAGUGUGAGCCCUUCUGGCACUAGCACCGCGAUAUAUCAGUGUACACUUUUUUACAUCCAAAUUUCAAAAGGUGAAAAUGUGAACCAAAAAAAAUUCGGAUCACUCCAUGUAUUGUACAUUGUAUAUCUUGCUCAUCAAAAGUUAAAAAUCAAACAUUUAAACUCAUAGAAAAAUGUUUGCUUUUAUGUGAACCUGAUUUUUUAAAAAUUUUUUUAUUCAACUUUAGGAUUAAAUAUACAACCCACUCACGUUUUGUCGGAGCGACCAAAAAAUUAAAAUGGAAAUACUUUUUUAUACGAAUCGAAAAUAUCUCAUAAUUAUUUAUUCGAAAAUCAUUUUCUUGCAGUGAAUUAGUUGGUGGAGAACGCCUCAUAUUUCUAUUCUACACACAAGAGUUCAUUGGCACAUGUCACCGCAGCGGUGACAACAGGCAUUAAGGAAAAGCAGAAGAAGAAAACGAAGAAGAGGAAAAAGAUGUUCAAUGUCCCAGAGCUGAGUGGGGGAUUGUUUACGGUAUUCAGUCAAUGUCUUUAUUUCAAAAAAAUCAUUCAACGGGUUUGUUUUUACGUCAAGAUGAAGCGUUUAUUAUCAUGUGAACAUCACAAGCUCGAGACAGUCUUUUGGCAAUCCAUAAAUAAUAUUCUAUGUUUCAAUUUUCACGUACAUUUACGACUAGUAAAAAAAUUAUUCGAUUUCUCUCUUCUUCUGUGUAUCUAUUUACCUACCUAUCUCUCGUUUCAUUAUAUCCUUACGUGUAAAAUUUAACAAUUUCACAAAUAUUCAUCAAUAGAAAACAGUAAAUCCGAUUAAUAUGUUAAUUAAUAGAGAUGCGAUGUAAAUCGUACAUGUAAUAUAUCGAGUCAUUUUCUGGAACGGACCUGCUCGCCACCUCGUUUAUAUGUGUAGCCAACUUCACUGCUAACUAACAGCACUGACUUAAUUACAUAAUUAUUUU